rnacentral:rRNA from 1 species
CGGACGGGUGAGUAAUGUCUGGGGAACUGCCUGAUGGAGGGGGAUAACUACUGGAAACGGUAGCUAAUACCGCAUAACGUCGCAAGACCAAAGAGGGGGACCUUAGGGCCUCUCGCCAUCGGAUGUGCCCAGAUGGGAUUAGCUAGUAGGUGGGGUAACGGCUCACCUAGGCGACGAUCCCUAGCUGGUCUGAGAGGAUGACCAGCCACACUGGAACUGAGACACGGUCCAG